rnacentral:rRNA from 2 species
AUUCGGCAAGUUAGUCCCGUAAGUUCGCGAUAAGGGAUGCCUGCUCUUGACCGAGCAGGUCGCAGUGACUCGGACGCUCCGACUGUCUAGUAACAACAUAGGUGACCGCAAAUCCGCAAGGACUCGUACGGUCACUGAAUCCUGCCCAGUGCGGGUAUCUGAACACCUAGUACAAUAGGACGAAGGACCCGUCAACGGCGGGGGUAACUAUGACCCUCUUAAGGUAGCGUAGUACCUUGCCGCUUCAGUAGCGGCUUGCAUGAAUGGAUCAACGAGAGCGUCACUGUCCCAACGUUGGGCCCGGUGAACAGUACGUUCCAGUGCGGAGUCUGGAGACCCCCAAGGGGAAGCGAAGACCCUAUAGAGCUUUACUGCAGGCUGUCGCUGAGACGUGGUCGCUAAUGUGCAGCAUAGGUAGGAGCCGUUACACAGGUACCCGCGCCAGCGGGCCACCGAGGCAGCAUUGAAAUACUACCCGUUAGUGACUGCGACUCUCACUCCUGGCGGAGGACACCGGUAGCCGGGCAGUUUGACUGGGGCGGUACGCGCUCGAAAAGAUAUCGAGCGCGCCCAAAGAUUUCCUCACGCGAGUCGGGAACUCGUGGAAGAGCGCAAGAGCAAACGGAAGUCUGACAGUGACAUUCCCAACGAGUGUCGCUGACGCGAAAGCGUGGUCUAGCGAACCUACGAGGUUCAUUCAUGGGACCCGUAGAUGACAGAAAAGCUACCUUAGGGAUAACAGAGUCGUCACCGGCAAGAGCACAUAUCGACCCGGUGGCUUGCUACCUCGAUGUCGGUUCCCUCCAUCCUGCCUGUGCAGAAGCAGGCAAGGGUGAGGUUGUUCGCCUAUUAAAGGAGGUCGUGAGCUGGGUUUAGACCGUCGUGAGACAGGUCGGCUGCUAUCUAUUGGGGGUGUUAAGGAACUUGACGUGAACGUUCGUAUAGUACGAGAGGAACUACGAAUGGGUGCCACUGGUGUACCGGUUGUCCGAGAGGGCAGAUGCCGGGCAGCUACGCACCACGGGGUAAGAGCUGAACGCAUCUAAGCUCGAAACCCACACGGAAAAGAAGUUCCACUGAGGACACUCGUAGAAGACGAGUUCGAUAGACUCGGGGUGUACGCAACGAGGCAACGAGUUGUUAAGCCCGCGAGCACUAACAGUCCAA